UACGGAGGGUGCAAGCGUUGUCCGGAUUUAUUGGGUUUAAAGGGUGCGUAGGCGGCUUUUUAAGUCAGUGGUGAAAUCCUGCAGCUCAACUGUAGAAUUGUCAUUGAUACUGAGAAGCUUGAGUACAGACGAGGUAGGCGGAAUUUAUGGUGUAGCGGUGAAAUGCAUAGAUACCAUAAAGAACCCCUAUUGCGAAGGCAGCUUACUAGGCUGUAACUGACGCUGAGGCACGAAAGCGUGGGGAUCAAACAGG
rnacentral:rRNA from 1 species